rnacentral:rRNA from 1 species
AGCGAACGCUGGCGGCAGGCCUAACACAUGCAAGUCGAACGGCAGCACAGUAAGAGCUUGCUCUUACGGGUGGCGAGUGGCGGACGGGUGAGGAAUACAUCGGAAUCUACUUUUUCGUGGGGGAUAACGUAGGGAAACUUACGCUAAUACCGCAUCCGACCUACGGGUGAAAGCAGGGGAUCUUCGGACCUUGCGCGAUUGAAUGCGCCGAUGUCGGAUUAGCUAGUUGGUGGGGUAAUGGCCCACCAAGGCGACGAUCCGUAGCUGGUCUGAGAGGCGGGUCAGCCACACUGGAACUGAGACACGGUCCAGACUCCUACGGGAGGCAGCAGAGGGGAAUGUUGGACAAUGGGCGCAAGCCUGAUCCAGCCAUACCGCGUGGGUGAAGAAGGCCUUCGGGUUGUAAAGCCCUUUUGUUGGGAAAGAAAAGCAGCAGGUUAAUACCCCGCUGUUCUGACGGUACCCAAAGAAUAAGCACCGGCUAACUUCGUG